rnacentral:rRNA from 1 species
CCUACGGGGGGCAGCAGUGGGGAAUAUUGGGCAAUGGGCGCAAGCCUGACCCAUCAACGCCGCGUGAAGGAAGAAGGCUUUCGGGUUGUAAACUUCUUUUCUGAGGGACGAAGAAAGUGACGGUACCUCAGGAAUAAGCCACGGCUAACUGCGUGCCAGCAGCCGCGGUAAUACGUAGGUGGCAAGCGUUAUCCGGAUUUAUUGGGUGAAAAGAGCGUGUAGGCGGGAAAGCAAGUCAGAUGUGAAGACUCAGGGCUCAACCCUGAGCCUGCAUUUGAAUCUGUUUUUCUUGAGUGCUGGAGAGG